UACGUAGGUGGCAAGCGUUGUCCGGAAUUAUUGGGCGUAAAGCGCGCGCAGGCGGUCCUUUAAGUCUGAUGUGAAAGCCCACGGCUCAACCGUGGAGGGUCAUUGGAAACUGGGGGACUUGAGUACAGGAGAGAAAAGUGGAAUUCCACGUGUAGCGGUGAAAUGCGUAGAGAUGUGGAGGAACACCAGUAGCGAAGGCGACUUUUUGGCCUGUAACUGACGCUGAGGCGCGAAAGCGUGGGGAGCAAACAGG
rnacentral:rRNA from 1 species